rnacentral:rRNA from 1 species
UACGUAGGGUGCGAGCGUUGUCCGGAAUUAUUGGGCGUAAAGAGCUCGUAGGCGGUGUGUCACGUCGGCCGUGAAAACCUGCAGCUUAACUGUGGGCGUGCGGUCGAUACGGGCAUCACUGGAGUUCGGCAGGGGAGACUGGAAUUCCUGGUGUAGCGGUGAAAUGCGUAGAUAUCGAGAGGAACACCUGCGGCGAAGGCGGGUUGCUGGGCCGACACUGACGCUGAGACGCGAAAGCGUGGGGAGCGAACAGG